AGCUCGUGUCGUGAGUGUUGGGUUAAGUCCCGUAACGAGCGCAACCCUUGUCCUUAGUUACCAGCACGUUAUGGUGGGCACUCUAAGGAGACUGCCGGUGACAAACCGGAGGAAGGUGGGGAUGACGUCAAGUCAUCAUGGCCCUUACGGCCUGGGCUACACACGUGCUACAAUGGUCGGUACAAAGGGUUGCCAAGCCGCGAGGUGGAGCUAAUCCCAUAAAACCGAUCGUAGUCCGGAUCGCAGUCUGCAACUCGACUGCGUGAAGUCGGAAUCGCUAGUAAUCGUGAAUCAGAAUGUCACGGUGAAUACGUUCCCGGGCCUU
rnacentral:rRNA from 1 species